UACGUAGGGGGCAAGCGUUGUCCGGAUUUAUUGGGCGUAAAGAGCGUGUAGGCGGCCAGACAGGUCAGCUGUGAAAACUCGAGGCUCAACCUCGAGACGUCGGUUGAAACCGUCUGGCUAGAGUCCGGAAGAGGAGAGUGGAAUUCCCGGUGUAGCGGUGAAAUGCGCAGAUAUCAGGAGGAACACCGAUGGCGAAGGCAAUCCCCUGGGCCUGCACUGACGCUCAUGCACGAAAGCGUGGGGAGCAAACAGG
rnacentral:rRNA from 1 species